rnacentral:rRNA from 1 species
UUGGAGGGCAAUCGGUGCCAGCAGCCGCGGUAAUUCCAGCUCCAAUAGCGUAUAUUAAAGUUGUUGCAGUUAAAAAGCUCGUAGUUGAAUUUCGGGGUUAGUAGGUUGGUCAUGCCUCUGGUAUGUACUGGUCUCACUGAUUCCUCCUUCCUUAUGAACCGUAAUGCCAUUAAUUUGGUGUUGCGGGGAACUUGGACUGUUACUUUGAAAAAAUUAGAGUGUUUAAAGCAAGCUAACGCUUGAAUACAUUAGCAUGGAAUAAUGAAAUAGGACGUUCG